UGACCUUCCACCUCCUUCUAAACCUAGACAAUUGGGCGAUUCCACGGAACUGAAACCAAGUCAAGGUCCUCAUCCUUCUCUGUUCCCCCACAUCACUCUCUCUUGCCCCCCCUCAACUCUGCAACAUCACCAUCGCGACAGAGCUGCCUUCUCUAGCGAGUUCCUCGAUUUCCCGACUUAAGGUGCGUUUGUUAGUGGCGACCCCGUCCUCUCUAGUUUGAACGGCUAUUCGGCGAUGAAGUAUCUGAUUUAGAAUUGAGGUGUACAAUCUCGGCGUCAAGGCACUCCCGCAUUGGUAUCUUCAAGUCCUCUCGGUGUAUGACCUAUUCAUUUGUUCAUACCUUUUUGUAAUAUUCCUUAUACAGUAAUUUUGAUUAGUUGUAUACUUUGAACAUGUUCCCACAUUUGCAUAUUCAUAAUAGUUAAGUUCA